rnacentral:rRNA from 1 species
AGCGAACGCUGGCGGCAGGCUUAACACAUGCAAGUCGAGCGGCCGUAGCAAUACGGCAGCGGCAGACGGGAGAGUAACACGUGGGAACGUACCCUUCAGUACGGAACAACCAAGGGAAACUUUGGCUAAUACCGCAUACGUCCGUAAGGAGAAAGAUUGAUCGCUGAAGGAUCGGCCCGCGUCUGAUUAGCUAGUUGGUGAGGUAACGGCUCACCAAGGCGACGAUCAGUAGCUGGUCUGAGAGGAUGAUCAGCCUCACUGGGACUGAGACACGGCCCAGACUCCUACGGGAGGCAGCAGUGGGGAAUAUUGGACAAUGGGCGCAGGCCUGAUCCAGCCAUGCCGCGUGGAUGAUGAAGGCCCUAGGGUUGUAAAGUCCUUUUAACGGGGAAGAUAAUGACGGUACCCGUAGAAUAAGCCCCGGCUAACUUCGUGCCAGCCGCCGCCGUAA